AUGGCUCUCGCUCUCUCCGGCUCCGCUGCUGCCCGCGCGCUCGCCCAGCGGCUGGCCCCGGCCACCAGGGGCUACGCGGCGGCGGCCUCCUCCGGGGCGAUGAGGCGCGGCGCCGCGGCGGCCGCGGACGGGAAGGCGGCCAGGGAGGCCGAGAAGGCCGCGGCCGACGCCUCGUGGGUGCCCGACCCCGUCACCGGCCACUACCGCCCCGCCAACCGCGCCGUCGGCGCCGACCCCGCCGACCUCCGCGCCGCGCACCUCGGGCAGACCUACGCACGGGCUUGA
rnacentral:rRNA from 1 species